UACAGGGGGGGGCAAGCGUUUGUUCGGAAUUACUGGGCGUAAAGGGCUCGUAGGUGGCCAACUAAGUCAGACGUGAAAUCCCUCAGCUUAACUGGGGAACUGCGUCUGAUACUGGACGGCUUGAGUUUGGGAGAGGGAUGCGGAAUUCCAGGUGUAGCGGUGAAAUGCGUAGAUAUCAGGAGGAACACCGAUGGCGAAGGCAGAUCUCUGGGCCGUUACUGACGCUGAGGAGCGAAAGCGUGGGGGAGCGAACAGG
rnacentral:rRNA from 1 species